GAUGAACGCUGGCGGCGUGCCUAAUACAUGCAAGUCGAGCGAACAGACGAGGAGCUUGCUCCUCUGACGUUAGCGGCGGACGGGUGAGUAACACGUGGAUAACCUACCUAUAAGACUGGGAUAACUUCGGGAAACCGGAGCUCAUACCGGAUAAUAUAUUGAACCGCAUGGUUCAAUAGUGAAAGACGGUUUUGCUGUCACUUAUAGAUGGAUCCGCGCCGCAUUAGCUAGUUGGUAAGGUAACGGCUUACCAAGGCAACGAUGCGUAGCCGACCUGAGAGGGUGAUCGGCCACACUGGAACUGAGACACGGUCCAGACUCCUACGGGAGGCAGCAGUAGGGAAUCUCCCGCAAUGGGCGAAAGCCUGACGGAGCAACGCCGCGUGAGUGAUGAAGGUCUUCGGAUCGUAAAACUCUGUUAUUAGGGAAGAACGAAUGUGUAAGUAACUAUGCACGUCUUGACGGUACCUAAUCAGAAAGCCACGGCUAACUACGUG
rnacentral:rRNA from 1 species